rnacentral:rRNA from 1 species
GUGGGGAAUAUUGCGCAAUGGGGGAAACCCUGACGCAGCAAUACCGCGUGAGUGAAGAAGGUUUUCGGAUCGUAAAACUCUUUUAUUGGGGAAGAAGAAGUGACGGUACCCAAUGAAGAAGUCCCGGCUAACUACGUGCCAGCAGCCGCGGUAAUACGUAGGGGACAAGCGUUGUCCGGAAUCACUGGGCGUAAAGGGCGCGUAGGCGGUUUUAUAAGUCAGAUGUGAAAGGUACCGGCUCAACCGGUGACGUGCAUUUGAAACUGUAAGACUUAAGUACUGGAGAGGCAAGUGGAAUUCCUAGUGUAGCGGUGAAAUGCGUAGAUAUUAGGAGGAACACCGGUGGCGAAGGCGGCUUGCUGGACAGAUACUGACGCUGAGGUGCGAAAGCGUGGGGAGCGAACAGGAUUAGAAACCCCGGUAGUCC